UACGAGGGGGCUAGCGUUGUUCGGAAUUACUGGGCGUAAAGGGCGCGUAGGCGGCGCGAUAAGUUGGGCGUGAAAGGCCCGGGCUCAACCCGGGGACUGCGCUUGAUACUGUCGCGCUGUGAGUCCGGGAGAGGAUGGCGGAAUUCCCAGUGUAGAGGUGAAAUUCGUAGAUAUUGGGAAGAACACCGGUGGCGAAGGCGGCCAUCUGGACCGGCACUGACGCUGAGGCGCGAAAGCGUGGGGAGCAAACAGGG
rnacentral:rRNA from 1 species